UACAGAGGUCCCAAGCGUUGUUCGGAUUCAUUGGGCGUAAAGGGUGCGUAGGCGGCGCGGUAAGUCGGGUGUGAAAUCUCGGAGCUUAACUCCGAAACUGCAUUCGAUACUGCCGUGCUUGAGGACUGGAGAGGAGACUGGAAUUUACGGUGUAGCGGUGAAAUGCGUAGAUAUCGGGAGGAAUACCGGUGGCGAAGGCGGCAUCCGUGGACCGAGAUUGACGCUGAGGAGCGAAGCUAGGGGAGCAAACGGG
rnacentral:rRNA from 1 species